rnacentral:rRNA from 1 species
UACGUAGGGCGCAAGCGUUUGUCCGGAAUUAUUGGGCGUAAAGAGCUCGUAGGCGGCUUGUCACGUCGAUUGUGAAAGCCCGAGGCUUAACCUCGGGUCUGCAGUCGAUACGGGGCUAGCUAGAGUGUGGUAGGGGAGAUCGGAAUUCCUGGUGUAGCGGUGAAAUGCGCAGAUAUCAGGAGGAACACCGGUGGCGAAGGCGGAUCUCUGGGCCAUUACUGACGCUGGAGGAGCGAAAGCGUGGGGAGCGAACAGG